AGCAGCCGCGGUAAUUCCAGCUCCAAUAGCGUAUAUUAAAGUUGUUGCAGUUAAAAAGCUCGUAGUUGAAUUUCGGGAUCAAUUUAUUGGUCGUGCUAUUGUACGUACUGGUAUUAUUGAUUCCUACCUUCUGACGAACCAUGAUGUCAUUAAUUUGGUGUCUUGGGGAAUCAGGACUGUUACUUUGAAAAAUUAGAGUGUUUAAAGCAGGCUCACGCUUGAAUACAUUAGCAUGGAAUAACGAAAUAGGACGUUUGAUUCUAUUUUGUUGGUUUCUAGGAUCGACGUAAUGAUUAAUAGGGAUAGUUGGGGGCAUUAGUAUUCAAUUGUCAGAGGUGAAAUUCUUGGAUUUAUUGAAGACUAACUACUGCGAAAGCAUUUGCCAAGGAUGUUUUCAUUAAUCAAGAACGAAAGUUAGGGGAUCGAAGACGAUCAGAUACCGUCGUAGUCUU
rnacentral:rRNA from 1 species